AAAUUGAAGAGUUUGAUCAUGGCUCAGAUUGAACGCUGGCGGCAGGCCUAACACAUGCAAGUCGAACGGUAACAGGAAGCAGCUUGCUGCUUCGCUGACGAGUGGCGGACGGGUGAGUAAUGUCUGGGAAACUGCCUGAUGGAGGGGGAUAACUACUGGAAACGGUAGCUAAUACCGCAUAACGUCGCAAGACCAAAGAGGGGGCCCUUCGGGCCUCUUGCCAUCGGAUGUGCCCAGAUGGGAUUAGCUAGUAGGUGGGGUAACGGCUCACCUAGGCGACGAUCCCUAGCUGGUCUGAGAGGAUGACCAGCCACACUGGAACUGAGACACGGUCCAGACUCCUACGGGAGGCAGCAGUGGGGAAUAUUGCACAAUGGGCGCAAGCCUGAUGCAGCCAUGCCGCGUGUAUGAAGAAGGCCUUCGGGUUGUAAAGUACUUUCAGCGGGGAGGAAGGGAGUAAAGUUAAUACCUUU
rnacentral:rRNA from 1 species